UACGGAGGGGGCUAGCGUUGUUCGGAAUCACUGGGCGUAAAGCGCACGUAGGCGGAUUGCUAAGUCAGGGGUGAAAUCCUGGAGCUCAACUCCAGAACUGCCUUUGAUACUGGCGACCUUGAGUCCGGGAGAGGUGAGUGGAACUGCGAGUGUAGAGGUGAAAUUCGUAGAUAUUCGCAAGAACACCAGUGGCGAAGGCGGCUCACUGGCCCGGUACUGACGCUGAGGUGCGAAAGCGUGGGGAGCAAACAGG
rnacentral:rRNA from 1 species